GACGGGGUGGCAGAAAGUAAUGCGACGAAUUGUAAAUUCGGUUGUGGGGGUUUGAGUCCCCCCCCUGUUA
rnacentral:tRNA from 1 species